ensembl:lncRNA
GCGCCCUACAACUGGAACACGGAGUGUCUGCGGGGCGACGGCGAGGCACCUGGAUGGGCCACAGCUUUCCCGCAGGCGUUGGGGCUUGCCGCCGCCUUCAGUCCAGAACUCAUCUACCGUGUGGCCAACGCCACGGCCACCGAGGUGAGAGCCAAACACAACAGCUUUGCUGCUGCUGGCCGCUACAGUGACCACACCGGGCUCAGCUGCUUCAGCCCUGUCCUGAACAUCAUGAGGCACCCACUGUGGGGGAGGAACCAGGAGACCUAUGGGGAGGACCCAUUCCUGAUUGGGGAGCUGGCCCGUAGCUUUGUGCAGGGGCUUCAGGGUCAGCACCCCCGUUAUGUUAAGGCCAGUGCUGGCUGCAAACACUUCAGUGUGCACGGAGGCCCUGAGAACAUCCCCGUCUCCAGGCUAAGCUUCGAUGCCAAGGUGCUGGAGCGGGACUGGCGCAUGACCUUCCUGCCCCAGUUCCAGGCAUGUGUGCGUGCUGGCUCCUACAGCUUCAUGUGCAGCUACAACAGGAUCAACGGUGUUCCUGCUUGUGCCAACAAGAAGCUGCUGACGGACAUCCUGCGUGGCGAGUGGGGCUUUGAUGGCUACGUGGUGAGCGACGAGGGGGCUGUGGAGCUCAUCAUGCUAGGGCACCACUACACACACAGCUUUCUGGAGACAGCGGUUGCCUCGGUGAACGCUGGCUGCAACCUGGAGCUCUCCUAUGGCAUGAGGAACAACGUAUUCAUGCACAUCCCUGAGGCUCUGGCCAUGGGCAACAUCACACUGCAGAUGCUGCGUGACCGAGUCCGGCCCCUCUUCUACACACGGAUGCGGCUGGGGGAGUUUGCCCCCCCAGCCAUGAACCCCUACAGCUCCCUGGACCUGAGUGUGGUGCAGAGCCCCGAGCACCGCAACCUCUCGCUGGAAGCUGCCGUCAAGAGCUUUGUGCUGCUGAAGAACGUGCGGGGGACACUGCCCCUGCGGGCCCAGGACCUGUCUGGCCAGCACCUCGCGGUCGUGGGUCCCUUUGCUGACAAUCCCCGGGUACUGUUUGGGGACUAUGCACCAGUGCCAGAUCCUCAGUACAUCUACACCCCCCGGAGGGGGCUGGAGAUGCUGGGGGCCAAUGUCAGCUUCACAGCGGGCUGCAGCGAGCCACGGUGCAAGCUGUACUCCCGGGCAGAGCUGCUGAGGGUGGUGAGGGCAGCUGAUGUGGUGCUGGUCUGCCUGGGCACAGGGGUAGAUGUGGAGACAGAGGCGAAAGACCGGAGUGACCUGUCUCUGCCCGGGCAGCAGCUGGAGCUGCUGCAGGAUGCUGUGCAGGCGGCCGCUGGGCGCCCUGUCAUUCUGCUGCUGUUCAACGCGGGGCCCCUGGACGUGAGCUGGGCUCAGGCACACGACGGCGUAGGGGCCAUCCUGGCCUGCUUCUUCCCUGCCCAGGCCACCGGCUUGGCCAUUGCCAGGGUCCUGCUGGGUGAGGCAGGGGCCAGCCCAGCUGGCCGGCUGCCAGCCACUUGGCCUGCAGGCAUGCACCAGGUGCCACCGAUGGAGAACUACACCAUGGAGGGACGGACAUACCGGUACUAUGGGCAGGAGGCCCCGCUCUACCCUUUUGGGUACGGGCUGUCCUACACCACGUUCCGCUAUCGGGACCUGGUGCUGAGCCCCCCAGUGCUGCCGGUCUGUGCCAACCUUUCUGUGUCUGUGGUGCUGGAGAACACGGGGCUGCGGGACAGCGAGGAGGUGGUGCAGCUGUACCUGCGCUGGGAGCAGUCAUCUGUGCUGGUGCCCCGCUGGCAGCUGGUGGCUUUCCGCCGUGUGGCUGUGCUGGCCGGCCGGGAGGCCAAGCUGACCUUCCAGGUGCUGGCCGAGCAGCGCGCUGUCUGGGCGCAGGACUGGCGCCUGGAGCCCAGCACCUUCACCCUGUUCGCUGGAGGGCAGCAGCCGGGCCAGAAGACACGGGCGCCCUCGGAGGUGCUGAAUGCACGGUUCAGUGUUACCGGCACUGCCCGGCCCUUACGCACGUGUUAGCCGCGGGGGUGGGCACAGGGUGCUGGCAGAGGAAGGGAUGCGAUGUACCCCGUGUGCCGCAGGCAGUGUGGUGGUUCUCUGCCCUGCAAUAAAGUGCUGGUGCUCCGUGUCA